UACGUAGGUGGCAAGCGUUGUUCGGAAUUACUGGGCGUAAAGGGCUCGUAGGUGGCCAACUAAGUCGGACGUGAAAUCCCUCGGCUUAACCGGGGAACUGCAUCCGAUACUGGAUGGCUUGAGUUCGGGAGAGGGAUGCGGAAUUCCAGGUGUAGCGGUGAAAUGCGUAGAUAUCUGGAGGAACACCGGUGGCGAAGGCGGCAUCCUGGACCGACACUGACGCUGAGGAGCGAAAGCCAGGGGAGCAAACGGG
rnacentral:rRNA from 1 species